CUGCUUGUUCUCCUGCCUUUCUUCCAUCAGGUCUUGGUGCAGAAUUCUGUACCAAAUUCAUUACCAAAAAACAAUCAUAAGGAAAACUCCAUAAACAAAUAAUAAAUAAAUCGAUGACAUUUUUUUAUUGAUUUGAAUUAGAAAACACAAAUUUUGUCAUUAAAAAUCUAAAAUAUUUUUCUCUAAAAAAAAAAAAUCUAACAUAUCAAUCAAAUCAAUCCCUUUUAUGUAAAUAUUGAAGGUCCUUUUUUUUUUUUUAUCAGGGACUAAUUUUACCAAAAUUUCAAUUUUGGAAACUAAAUUGAUAUUUUAAAUCUUAUACAAGACAUUUAAAUAAUGAUCAUUAGUGUUGUUACUAAUCCUUCUCCUUCCCCAACAUUAUAUAUAAGCAAUAAUUUUCUCAAUUUUUUUUUUAACAACAAAUUUGACCAGAUCACUGCUCAAGACGAAUAGAGACGGGUGAAACUGAGAAUACAGACAAAAAGCGUCAUACAAAGGAGAUAGUAAACAAACCGAAAGCAUGAUGUUAGCAGCUACAAAAUAAUCUGAUUCAACAAUCAAUGUAGCACUAUCAACUGUGCCAUAUUUUGCUGCAGUGCCACCAAAGGUUAUAUUUGGCAUAGUUCCUGGUGCUGCAUACAAUGUAACAAAAGGUUUUGUCCUCUCAAUUUUAAUUUUCUCAUUAUAAUUUCCACCACCAAUUUUCACAAUCACACGUUUGUUGUUUCCAGUUGGUAUACUAUUAAUGGCAUCAGUGAUGGUUUUGAAAUCACCCUUGCCAUCUUGCAUUACUGUAAUAACCUUAGGAGCAGCCUCUGCAGCUACCAAGGAAGGAUCAAGGGUUGCUUUUCUUUGUGCUAAUGGUCCCACAUUGGUAUU
rnacentral:lncRNA from 1 species